rnacentral:rRNA from 1 species
UACGUAGGGGCUAGCGUUGUCCGGAAUCAUUGGGCGUAAAGAGCGUGUAGGCGGUCCGGUAAGUCCGCUGUGAAAGUCGGGGGCUCAACCCUCGAAUGCCGGUGGAUACUGUCGGGCUAGAGUGCGGAAGAGGCGAGUGGAAUUCCUGGUGUAGGCGGUGAAAUGCGCAGAUAUCAGGAGGAACACCAAUGGCGAAGGCAGCUCGCUGGGACGGUACUGACGCUGGAGGCGACGAAAGCGUGGGGAGCAAACAGG